UUACCAUCACGAGAAAAAUGAUAGUAUAGG
rnacentral:piRNA from 1 species